AGCGAACGCUGGCGGCAUGCUUAACACAUGCAAGUCGCACGGGCAGCAAUGUCAGUGGCGGACGGGUGAGUAACGCGUAGGUAUCUAUCCAUGGGUGGGGGAUAACCGCGGGAAACUGCGGCUAAUACCGCAUGACAUCUGAGGAUCAAAGGCGCGAGUCGCCUGUGGAGGAGCCUGCGUACGAUUAGCUAGUUGGUGGGGUAACUGCCUACCAAGGCGACGAUCGUUAGCUGGUCUGAGAGGAUGAUCAGCCACAUUGGGACUGAGACACGGCCCAAACUCCUACGGGAGGCAGCAGUGGGGAAUAUUGGACAAUGGGCGCAAGCCUGAUCCAGCAAUGCCGCGUGGGUGAAGAAGGUCUUCGGAUUGUAAAGCCCUUUCGGCGGGGACGAUGAUGACGGUACCCGCAGAAGAAGCCCCGGCUAACUUCGUGCCAGCCGCCGCCGUAACAC
rnacentral:rRNA from 1 species